CCCUAGUAACGGCGAGUGAAGCGGGAUGAGCUCAAAUUUGAAAUCUGGCGGUCUCAGGCCGUCCGAGUUGUAAUCUAGAGAAGUGUUUUCCGUGCCGGACCGUGUACAAGUCCCUUGGAACAGGGCGUCAUAGAGGGUGAGAAUCCCGUCCAUGACACGGACUCCCGGUGCUCUGUGAUACACUUUCAAAKAGUCGAGUUGUUUGGGAAUGCAGCUCAAAAUGGGAGGUAAAUUCCUUCUAAAGCUAAAUACAGGCGAGAGACCGAUAGCGAACAAGUACCGUGAGGGAAAGAUGAAAAGAACUUUGGAAAGAGAGUUAAACAGUACGUGAAAUUGUUGAAAGGGAAACGCUUGAAGUCAGUCGCGUCCGCCGGGACUCAGCCUUGCUUUUGCUUGGUGCACUUCCCGGUGGAUGGGCCAGCAUCGAUUUCGGUCGCCGGAAAAGGGCGGGAGGAAUGUGGCAGCUUGCUGUGUUAUAGCCUCUCGUCGUACACGGUGAUUGGGAUCGAGGACUGCAGCACGCCUUUUGGUCGGGGUUCGCCCACGCCACGUGMUUAGGAUGCU
rnacentral:rRNA from 1 species